GGAUGUGUGGGGGAGCAGAAUUUCCACUUGUUUUCUUUCAUCAACAAAGUAGAACAUCACAGACUCAGAUGAGCCCUAUGUAGCAAUAUGCAAAGGACAUUACUUGAAAACUCAACUUUCUUGUUCUCAGACUUUUAUUAAUGCAGUUUGUUGUCUCCAAAAGAGCAGCAACAAUAUUCUCAGUGGUUCUACCACUCAACCCCUUGGGAUGAAGGUUCUUAGUAAUAUUUCACUAUUUAGUCUACAGCCUAUAUAUGCAUGUACGUUUUGUUUGUUUGAGAUGGAGUCUCACUCUGUCACCAGGCUGGAGUGCAGUGGUGCAAUCUGGGCUUACUGCAGCCUCUACCUCUCAGGCUCAAGAGAUCCUCCCAUCUCAGCCUCCUGAGUAGCUGGGACUACAGGUGCACACCACCACACUCGGUUAAUUUUGUUUGUUUGGAGGCAGGGUUUCACCAUGUUGUCCAGGCUGGUCUCAAACUCCUGGGCUCAAGCAAUCCACCGGCCUCAGCCUCCCAAAAUGCUGAGAUUACAGGCAUGAGCCAACUGUGCCCAGCCAGCCUUAGUAUUUAUAGACCUGGUUUCCUCAGGUCCAAAUCCCUCUCCUUCAAUCAAAUGUUAUACAACUGCAACUGUCCUCCACGUCGCCUCCAUUUAUAGAGCAUUCUAUGACCUUACCUCCCCACCAUUAACUUUUCCCUGGCUAAUUUGAAACUGCCUGUACGAGCUUUAAAUGAGUUCUUUGUGGACUUCGGAAAGUGCUUACAUUCUCAGCAGUUCCUGUAAUCCUGUAACCAAAGAAGCGUUGUUGAUGGCCAAGGCUUAUUCUUCCUACAAAUAUGAUUGAGUUCUGACACCUGGUAUAAUGUUUUCUUUAAAAUGAGAGCCAAUGUAAUAAAAUUCUUUAUGGAAUAGUCUGCAAAAUGCUUUAAUAUAUUAAUAAAAUUAAAACAAUUUUCACAGAAAAUUUUAAUAAUUUUUUCUAACUUCUUUUCUGAUUGCACAGUUAAUUUUACCAUCUAGUUACUUCAAUAAUAUUUUCUCUGCCUACAGAGCAAAUAUAAGGGUAAAUUAUACAGACCCUGCUUUAGAAAGGCUCACAAUUCAAGCUGGUCUAACACGAUGAGUCAAUGCUAUGGAAAAACAGAAGAGACCAGUUAAUUCUAUUCAGAGUAAGAUCAAGGAGGACCUCAUAUGGAUGACCUUGGGACUUACUGGGGUAACUAGACCGAGAAGGAUGAGUCCAUUAUCAGGAUUUAAGAAUCCAGAACUAAGUGCUAAGUAAGGGGUUUAAGGAAAGCAUCAGCAAAAAUUCACUAAUUGUUUUCUUUUUUUUUUUUUUUUGAGACGGAGUCUCGCUCUGUCUCCCAGGCUGGAGUGCAGUGGCGCAAUCUCGGCUCACUGCAAGUUGCGCCUCCCGGGUUCACGCCAUUCUCCUGCCUCAACCUCCCGAGUAGCUGGGACUACAGGCGCCCGCCACCACGCCCGGCUAAUUUUUUUUUUUUUAUAUUUUUAGUAGAGACGGGGUUUCACCGUGUUAGCCAGGAUGGUCUCGAUCUCCUGACCUUGUGAUCCACCUGCCUCAGCCUCCCAAAGUGCUGGGAUUACAGGCGUGACCCACCGCGCCCGGCCUCACUAAUUGUUAGUUUAAAUUACCACCUACAUGAAGUCUUAUACCCUGGCUUUGUAUUUUAUGUUGGCUAAAGAGAAUGAUUCAAUAAGACUAUAGGAUAAAGGCACCAUUAAAGGUGCUUCAGUGGCAUUCUUUCAUUGAGGAGAAAUCUGCAGAAGGGUAGCACUUUCUAGUAAAACAUAGUACUCUAAACACGGUUAGCUUACAUGUUCUUCCAUUUAUUUAAGUGCCUUAAAAACAAAAGGAGAAGCAAAACCCUGAAAGAUCUUGGUUUAAUUCUUUUCUUCUCUAAAAGUAGGUUUCUGUUUUUUGGAGGGGAUUUAAUUGCUCAUCUGAUCUGAAUGCCCAUGACCAGCUCUUGUUUAUCAUUGGCAUGGCCAUGAACACAAACAAUAUAAAAUGCCAAUUUAACCAAUCCACCAUGCUUGUUUUUUCUUUUUUCCUAGGAAUUAACAGUGGCAGGCCCUGGAAAUAGAUGGGUAAGAGCAAAUCUGUGGUCAUCAACUAGGUGCACAGUCCAGUGGGUGUGUGAGAUGCAUGCACAGGGCAGACAGUAGAGCCUGCAACUGUGAUGGAAUUAACAGGGUAGGCCCUGCAAACAGAUGAGUAAAAGCAAAUCUGCGGCCAUCACUAGGUGCACAGUGCAGUGGGGGUGUGUGAGAUGCACAGGGCAGACAGUACAGCCUGCAACUGUGGCGCAGGCGCAGAACAGGAUUGAAUUUCGCUAAAAAGACAAAGGAAGAAAAAGUAUGGUCUCUGUCCUCAGGGCAUUGCAACCCAUUAGGCUGAAUCAUAUGAACUGCAGAUUAUGCAGGUAAAAUAUGGCCACAUAUCCACACCUUCACAGGGCUCUGCCUGACACACGGAGGACACAAUCACAAGAGCCAAAGCAGGGAAGGGGCAGGGAAAAAGUGGACACAACCCCACCCCAGUCCAGUGGUGCGGAUCAAUAAAUCGAGACUUACGGCCAAUCUGAAAUAGAUUCUAUUCAUGAAAGUCCUUCCAGAAACAACAUUCAGGAUGACGGCAUCAGUGUUAGCCAAGUGUCUGAGUGGUCUGGGUGUCACAUCUGUGUGUGUGCCCAAAUGGAUGAAAUUUAUGCACAACCAAUAAGCCCCACAAAAGUGAUUGUUAUGCUGAGCCGAACAACCAUUUUUUACUUCCCUUUGUCUCUCCCAUAGCUUCUCUUUCCUUUUCACUUCCUGGACCUACCAAAGCCUUGGCCUUGGGUGGGGAGGCAUCCAGUGACUGUCCUUUUCAGCUUCAACAAUGGCAACACAAUCUCUUGGCUUUGUAUUUGUGUAAGAGUUCCUUUUCACGAUGAGAAUGUCCAAAAUAGAUACCAUUCUACAUUAUUCCUUUAUUUAAAACCACAGGAAACAUAGAAACGAGUUUGAGGAAUACCACUUCAAGAUGGGAAUGGGAGGCAAAAAUAAUUCAGCCAACUAGGAGGUGGGCAAAAUGCUCCGAUUCCCUUUGUUUUCAUAUACGAUUUCAUUGAAGGAAGUGGAAGGGAUUUAAUAGAAAAGAUAUGAUGAUGACAAAUCAAGUCAAUAUUGAAAGAAUACUCUAGGCGGGGCGCAGUGGCUCACGCCUGUAAUCCCAACACUUUGGGAGGCUGAGGUGAGCGGAUCACCUGAGGUCGGGAGUUCGAGACCAGCCUGACCAACACGAAGAAACCCCAUCUACUAAAAAUACAAAAUUAGCCGGGUGUGGUGGCACAUGCCUGUAAUCCCAGCUACUUGGGAGUCUGAGGCAGGAGAAUCACUUGAACCCAGUAGGCGGAAGUUGCGGUGAGCCAAGAUCGUACCAUUGCACUCCAGCCUGGGCAACAAGACUGAAACUCCGUCUCAAAAAAAAAAAAAAAAGUGUGUCCAAUCACAGACUUUUGUCAUUUCUUGAGUUCUGAAUCGGCUAAAACAUCCGAGUGAGUUUUCUAACAGUAAAAGCUGCAUCUCUAGGCCACUGACCACACUGCAGCCCUCUGACAGUGUCACACUGGCAUUAUUUUGCUGCUUAUGGACAAAAGAAUGAGCAAUUUCCUGUUGGCCAGCUCUGAAUACCUUAUUCACUAGAGGCUGAGAUGGAGUCAGUACUGCUACUACAGGAACACGAGUCAACAUCUCUUAAAUGCUGUGUGCCAGACUAUGCGAAGAAAGGGCCUUAAAAACAUUAUCUCAUUUAAUCACCAUAAGCCUUCGAAGUAGAUGCUAGUAUUAUCCCCAUUUCAUAGAUAACUGAGGAGUGGAGAGGUCAGUCACCUGCUUCAAGUCACAGAUCCCAUAAGUGGCAAAGUGAGACAGCUGGAUGAUCCAACUUCAAAAGCUGAGCCCCCGCCUGCUUCUAUCUGCUUGAUGCAAAUUCCCAAAAGUCAAAGGCUUCUAAAUUCGCGCUAAUUCCUCAAAUCCCUCCUCUUAUCCUGGUGCAGCCUCAGUUGGAGUGACAGGAAGUUUAGAUAUGAGUAAGAAAACGGAACCUGACACUGAGUUAAAAGGACAAUUUCUUCCUUCAGAGACAAUCUUACUUUAUAUUAAACUUCAUUUCUGAAGCUCCCUGAUUCUCUAAAAUAAUCAAAAUGUUCAGCCCAAGAUAUGUCAAAAUGGUGAAGAAAUAUCUUAAAAUCCAGUUUUCACCCCUCUAACAAUAAAGUUAAAUCCUCCCCUUUAAUGGGUCUAGUCAGUGGAAGAACAUUUCUCUCAUUUUAAUCAUUUUUCUCCUGAUAUUUUCUCUCCUUUUAAUCAUUUCUUCACAAACAUCUGAAUGUUUAUGCUCCAGGCAAGAGGAGAGAAAAUGAUGAGAAUAUCCUUAUCCCUGGGUGUGAGGAGUAAUUACUCUACUGCCCUUUUAAAUACCUUUGAGGUUUAUUUCUUAAUUUUUUUCCUCCAACUUCAGUUUCACAACUUCUUCAUGAAACAAGGAGCUUGGUAAAGGAGGCCAGCAAGUAACAGGUUGGCUGUGAGCGUGACAUGAAUGCUCAGGCUGUAAACUGUCUUCCUCAGAGAGCAGUGACUCCAAUGGUCAGUGACAUGCAGGAGGAAACGCAGGAUUAGGACCGACUUUCCUUAGGUGUAGCCUCACGUUUUAAUCCCUGAGGUAUGUUGUAAAUGGGCAGCGCAUGAACAGGUGAUCAACUCAGAAGACGAGCUUCAUAAAGGUUGCCAUAGAACUUUAGAAUAUGCCUAUGGAUGGCCAAGUCACAACCAGAAUUGAGUCCUUAAUCACUGACCCCAUGUGUAUUUCUAUGGAAGGGGAGUGCAGUAUGUGGCCCAAAGGUUCUGAAAAACUGUGUGUGACAGUCUCCUGGCUGUGUAGCAUUUUUUGUUGCUUAUAGACAAAAUUUCUCUCCUCUAUCCAAAUCAGUAGGCCAUAGGCCAUUAUUUAAGACAAACUUUUGAGUAUAAAAAAUUUGUCUUUUACAUACACAAAUGCACACAUAUAUAGGGUUUGGGACAGACUCCACACCCCUAAAACUAGAGGAAAAACAAGGCCCUCUAGCAGGUCUGAACAUGAUGUAAUCACUUUUUCCUUUACUUAUGUAAAAGGUACCCUUUGUCAAAUUAGCACACUUCUGGCAAUAAUUCUGGCCCCAAAUAAAUAGAAACUUUAAGUUGAAACUUGGCAAUUGUGAAAUUUCCAAAUAAUUAAAAGGUAAAUUUUACAGUAAAGAGACUAAUUUUUUUCUAAUUCCAUAUGCUAUAGGCUACAAAAUAUAUAUUUAAAUUCCCUUAGGUAUUACCAAAUGUGUGUUGAGGUCCUCAACUGGGGUUGAGGGACCCUAACUAGGGGUUAAUACAUCAUGCAAAAUUUUCCACGUAUUGGAAGAAACAUCAGAAAUCAGCUUUUGUGUGCUCCUUAAGCCAGUUUUAAAAUAGAUUUUAAAAUAUUCACCUUCCAGCUGAUUAGCAUGAAAGGUUUGAAAAAUAUACAAAAGCAGAGUGCUAUGGAUUGCAUGUUUAUGUCCUCCCAAAAUUCAUCUGUUGAAACCCUAAUCUCCAAAGCAAUGGUAUUAGGAGGCGGAGCUAAUACCAUAAGUGGGCCUUUGGGAAGUGAGUAGGUCCUGAGGGUGGAGCCCUCAUGAAUAUUAGCGCCCUCACAAGAAGGGAAAGGAGAGCUUGCUUGCUUCCUUUCUCUCUCUCUGCCAUGUAAGGAUGCAAUGGGAAGAUGAUGGCUAUCAGCAAACCAGGGUAAGGGUGCUCACCAGGAACUCACCUUGAUCUUGGACUUCCCAGCCUCCAGAACGGUGAGAAAUUUCUGUCAUUUAAGCUACCCAGUGUAUGGUAUUUUGUUAUUGCAGCCUGAGCUGAUUAAGACACAGAGUAACUCACAAAAUAAAUAACAUCAAGUAUCACUGGCCAAGCCAAUGAGCAGUCAUACCAAAAGUAGUUUACUUUUAAGAUGUCCAUCUUCCACAGAAUCUCCAAGGAAGUAGCUUGCAGUAGUCUCAUCCCCACGGAAAUGAUGCAGUGAUUUUAUGCACAAGGGUAGGAGCAAAAUGUGAACUAAUGGUCUACAAAACUAAUCUCAUCUACAAUAGAAGAAAACAAGUCAGGCCUACUUCUCCAUACCAUUCAUGCCUAUGGUGGCAAAAGGCAGCAUGAGUCUCAUGCUUUGCUGGUGACAUUCAAAUGUCAGACAGAUUUACUUACUCGAGCUCUUUGGCGGAUGAAAAGUUUUGUGUCAAUACCUCAGGGUUUGCUGCAAUACUAACAACCUAAAGAGGAAUGUUCAUGGUCUUCCAGGGAAAAAAUUAAAAAAAGAAAGCCCACAAAAUAGAUUCUGAAAUUUCAGGUUUGGUGGGGAAAGAACUGAGAGAGAAGCAGAGAUAGGAAAUGGACAAAUAUAUAGACUGAAAUACUACUUAAGGAGGAUACAGGAUUUCUUUUAAAAUACUUGUUCUGAAAGAGAUGGUACCCUCCCCCACCUCCGCCCAAGAGGCAGUUCUGGAAAUGUGAGCAUGUUAGGGGUGCCACUGAUGGGCGGCCACUACUGAGAUUUAACCUGUUGGAGCAUGCGUGAUACACAAGCCCUGCAGCUUACAGCCCUCACAACAAAGAGCUGACUCAUCAACACAACUUUCAAUUGCCCCGCCCAAUAUUCAUAUAGAUGGGAACUCAGUUUACAAUAACAAAUCUAUGAUCUCAUUUCAUUUUAUAUAUAAACACACAGAAUUUUCAGCCCAGUUUUAAUAUGCUUUGGAUUUUUCAAGAAUGCAAUGAGAGAAUUCUAUAAAUGGAAGGAAGCCUAUAUACUGAGUGAUUAUGAGCAAGAAAGCCAGAGCCAGGCUGCUUUCAUUUUAAUCCCAGCUCUGCCAUUAUUAGCACAUAACCAGGAUGACUAGCACAUAACCUGGGUAACUCCCUCAUAUGCAAAACGGGACUAACAGCAGUACUCACCUCAUAGAUUUAUUAGAAAGGUAUUAGAACAAUGCCAGGCACACAGCAAGCACUAUAUGAGUGAAGCCAUUACAGACUAGGUAUGCCUAGAACUUUAUCUAAAGAAUUGGCCACAUUUUAGAAAAUCAUACUGCUGACAUCGACCCCUUUCCUGGUAUUGAACUGCCAAUGCAGCAGGUCUGAAUUGGUAACUACCACAUUCAUGGUGAUUUUUCACAUAUUUAUAUUUAUACACACACAUACAAAGUAUGUGCCCUGCUUAGUAGUUUAAUUACAUCUUGUAAUAUAACCAUGCUAGAAUAUGUACAUAUGAAAAUAAUUAUUUCAUUAUAAAAUAUCUUAUCUGUUUCAGUUAGAACGUCACUGAUGGGUAUGUUUUAGAGGCUAGUUAUAUUACCUGCUAGUUUCAUUUCAGAAUAGUAAAUGGAGUGAUGUUUUUAUGAGUGAAGGUAAGCUUCAUCAUCCAUGAUUUUCAUUUGAAGAUUGAAAAGUGAUGCUAUAAAAUAUUAUAAUAGGGGUAGGUGUUGAGUUGUGUCUGGGAGAGUUUUAACAAUCACUCUUGUAAAGUAUCCUGUCAAGGAGUUCAAGAUCAGCCUGGCCAACAUGGUGAAACUCCAUCUCUACUAAAAAUACAAAAAUUAGCCAGGUGUGGUGGCGGGCACCUGUAAUCCCAGCUACUUGGGAGGCUGAGGCAGGAGAAUUGCCUGAACCUGGGAGGCAGAGGCUGCAGUGAGUUGAGAUUGUACCACUGCACUCUAGCCUGGGUGACAGAGUGAGAAUCUGUCUCAGAAAAAAAAAAAAAUUUUUUUUAAAGAAAUAAAAAUAAAGAAUCCUGUCAAAAAGCAUCAUCAAGCAACUUCAUAUGUGAACACACGUCCACAAUUAAACCUGGAUUACUACUGAGGCAAGCAGUUUCCAUUAAUUUCUAAGAAAUCCAUAUUAAACUAUUAUUUAUGUAUGUCCAUAGUAGAGGUUUACAAAGGUUUUUUUUUUUUAGCAGCAAUAUAUUUUUCAAACACAAUUCAGGAGAAAACCUCAAAUAAAAAGAAAGAUGAAGCUGUGGAGGGUGACUGCAAGUAGAGGAGCCAGGAACUUCUCUCGCGGGUCCUGGGACUCCAGGGAACAAAGGCUGAAAAGCACCAAUCUGGUUGGCCACUGCCUAUAAUGAAGACUGACUGCCGAAUAUUCACUUAAAGGAUGGCUGUUCAAUUCACAAGUGGCAUUUUCCCCACAGAAAAAGAGCUCACCAGCCAGCUAAGGCCUCCAGAGUGAUUUAACUCAUCAUCCAGUGGAACUACAGCUCUUAGAGUUCUCCCCACAAUCUGGGGAGUAAGAGGAGAUGUUGCCACCCACUUCCUGGGCAUAAAGCCAGCUCAAGACAAGAGUAAAACAGGCAGGGCUGGCUCGCCCCUCGUACACAGCUCCCUCCUCAUCACCAGUGCCCUACACGAGACCUCCCCAGCCCACACCCCACCCUCCUAGUGUGUUGAACACCCUGUGGUCACACACUGCAAGCCUCUUCUCUCCAUCUGCCAAACACCCUUGGGUCUCCAUGUCUCCAUGAAAUACCAGAUCUUUUUCUUUUUGUUUUUUUUU
rnacentral:lncRNA from 1 species